rnacentral:rRNA from 1 species
AGACAGAGGGUGCAAACGUUGUUCGGAAUCACUGGGCAUAAAGCGCACGUAGGCGGUUCGGUAAGUCAGAUGUGAAAGCCCCCGGCUCAACCGGGGAACUGCAUUUGAAACUGCCGAACUCGAGGACGGUAGGGGUGAGUGGAACUCCAGGUGGAGCGGUGAAAUGCGUAGAUAUCGGAAGGAACACCAGUGGCGAAGGCGACUUCCUGGCCCAAAACUGACGCUCAGGUGCGAAAGCGUGGGUAGCGAACAGGAUUAGAAACCCCAGUAGUCC